AUGACCACUGAGCAUCCGAGCCUCGACUAUGGGUCACAUUUAUGCUUAGUCUGGAAAUACUAGCUCUCCAUUCUGAAAAUACAGCAUUUGAGUAGAUGUUGUUUCCACCCUACAGAUGAGAAUUAAGACCCAGAGUCCUGGGUUUGGGAACAAAACGAUGGUGACUCCAGACGACAAUCCCAACACUCAAGAUGCUACUACAGGAGGACUGCUGCAAGUUCAAGCCUGCCUAGCCACAGCAACAGUGAGUUCCAGACCAACCUGAAUGGCAGACAGAGUGAGACCCUAUCUCAAAACACAGGAGGUCAGACCCAGGACCAAGACCAUGCCCCAGGCCUG
rnacentral:lncRNA from 1 species